AGUCGAGCGAUGAAGUUCCUUCGGGAACGGAUUAGCGGCGGACGGGUGAGUAACACGUGGGUAACCUGCCUUAUAGAGGGGGAUAGCCUUCCGAAAGGAAGAUUAAUACCGCAUAAAGUUGUUGAUUCGCAUGGAUCGAUAACCAAAGGAGCAAUCCGCUAUAAGAUGGACCCGCGGCGCAUUAGCUAGUUGGUGAGGUAAUGGCUCACCAAGGCGACGAUGCGUAGCCGACCUGAGAGGGUGAUCGGCCACAUUGGGACUGAGACACGGCCCAGACUCCUACGGGAGGCAGCAGUGGGGAAUAUUGCACAAUGGGGGAAACCCUGAUGCAGCAACGCCGCGUGAGUGAUGAAGGCCUUCGGGUUGUAAGGCUCUGUCUUUGGGGACGAUAAUGACGGUACCCAAGGAGGAAGCCACGGCUAACUACGUGCCAGCAGCCACGGUAAUACGUAGGUGGCAAGCGUUGUCCGGAUUUACUGGGCGUAAAGGGAGCGUAGGCGGAUUUUUAAGUGGGAUGUGAAAUACCCGGGCUCAACUUGGGUGCUGCAUUCCAAACUGGAAGUCUAGAGUGCAGGAGAGGAAAGUGGAAUUCCUAGUGUAGCGGUGAAAUGCGUAGAGAUUAGGAAGAACACCAGUAGCGAAGCGACUUUCUGGACUGUAACUGACGCUGAGGCUCGAAAGCGUGGGGAGCAAACAGGAUUAGAUACCCUGUAGUCCACGCCGUAAACGAUGGAUACUAGUGUGGGAGUAUCAACUCCUUCCGUGCCGCCGUAAACACAUUAAGUAUCCCGCCUGGGGAGUACGGUCGCAAGAUUAAAACUCAAAGGAAUUGACGGGGACCGCACAAGCAGCGGA
rnacentral:rRNA from 1 species